rnacentral:lncRNA from 1 species
CAUAAUCCCUUUCCAUUAUUGCAACAUAACGGAAAUACAACCAAGUCCACAGAAUGAGACGGGAGAGGGGAGAGCGAGUUCAAGCACCGCCGGAAAACCUACUGUAAGCACUCGCCAUCGAGAUAACCCACUGUAGGGCGAAAACCCGGCGACACCAAAUCAGUAAGAAGUUCAGAUGGGGCAACCCCCCUAGACAGCUCACAAACGAGCACCAAAACGACAGUCCCACACAGGGAAGACUCCAAAGACGGACACAAACUAAGGCAAUGACACCACCGGAAGCAUGCAUCCCUUGAAGAUGCAUCACCAUUCCUUGAGCAAUUCUCCAGCGAGCUUCUCAGUCUUUGGUCGCAGCGCAGAUGCGCAUCAGCCUUGAUGCACUGUUCUUCAGCAUGUCCAGUCCUGCUCGCAGAUCCACCGCAUCCUCUUGUUUCAACAGUCCUGCCCAAUAACAAAGAAAAGCGCAUAUAGAGAAAAAGCAUUCGAAAGGAGUUUUCAGACGCUUAGAUUCGAACGUAGCACCAUUGCGACAGGUCCAAAUAGCCCAGCAAAGCGCAGCUAUGCCAACUGUGUAGAAAACCUCCCCAUCCGAGAAGUAUACAUAAGACCAGGAGUAAGCCUGCCAUAAGUUGUUCGGACACAAAUCAGUGAUUUAUCCACUUAUCCAACCAGAUAGAUGGAAUAUUCGUUUGGCCAUUAGGUUUGAAUUGCCUUCUCUUUAUGUCUUCCAUUUGAAUUCUGUGAUUUAUCCUGCUAUUUGGAGAGUAGAUGAUAUGGUCUUUCUUGGGUUUGGCUUUCAAAGUGCAGUUCGAAAAGAGUGAGUUGCUGUCAAUGGCUGGAAUGGAAUAUAUAAAUAAGAUGGAAAAUAUGCUUUCUUUCCAUCUACCUAUUUGAAGUAGUAAGCUUAUCUUUUAGGUGGGAAUAGUUUACAAUCGAGUUUGAAAGCAUUAAUGAAGUGACCCUAUUACAUCAAGUUCUUUUUUGACCUUUUCAUUUGAAAGUAGCCAUAGGCAAGGAAGGCUACCUAUUGAUACGGAAAGAAAGCCAUCUCUGGCUAUUCCUUUUUAGGGUGGAAAAGAGUGCUCCAUAUCCAUAUAUGUGCUUGGAGGGAAGGCCACAUCUUUAAUUGUAUUCUUUUUCGAGGUCAUCCUCUUCAGCCUGUGUUAGUAGUGCUAGUUUUUCGUUUUUGGUACCUUACGGGUCUAUAGAAAGGCUUAGAGGAUCCUAAAGUGUCAGUUUAUGUUGGAAUUGCUUUGCUCUUUUUCAAGCAAAUAAGCUUGAAAGAAAGUGCUUUUAUUCGAGUGGAAAUGAAAGAAGAAAUCAUCUAUCUAGACAGAGUAUGUGUAUUAUUCGGUCCAUGCUUGCCCUUCUAGGCCCUUUAGAUCUAUAUCUAUCUUACUAUCGAAAAGGGUUUUAGGAGGAGCAGAGCAAGUCGCGUUUACAGCCAGCAGUUCUUAUGGGCGUAACUCCCUCUAGUAUUCCAAUAAUCUCCUUUCCUCCAAUAUGUCACUAGUAUUCAAGUAUGCGGCUCGUAUUAGUAUGCCAGGCGUUCGAGAGACCAGAAUUCUUUUCAUAGCCUUCCCUUCAAUAUGCCAUCUUGUCUUGCGGCGCUCUAUCCUUCCAAGCGAGCCUGUGCUCGGGGAGCACUCCUUCUAUCAUUCAUAAAAUAUGCUUAUCUCUCCUUGGUCGUAAAGCUUCGCUUUGCUUUCAUUUACCGAAAAUGCCAUUGGAGUUUCCAGCUGGGAGGCGCAGUCUCGUACAAGAACCUUCUCUUCCUCUUUCGAAAAGUAGCAAAGCAGUGUCAGGUUGGAAGCCUGCGGGCCAGUCUGUUCUAGCGCCUCAUUCUUUACAUCCUUGCAUUACUCUCUUCCUUUCCUCCUUGCCCUAACUUGAACUGGCUGAAACUAAAAUGGCCGGACUUUCUAAUGAUGGCACUGGCUUGGCAGGAUCGACAUGAACUUCUAUUAGGACAACAACUGUUUUGCCCCUUGUCGAACUUUGACUGAGACAUAGCCUUGCUGCUGCGGGGCAGCCGACUUAUAAUUCUAGUUAUUGUCCUUCUUGUUCAUGUAGUGCCUGCCUCUCUCCAAAACUCCUUCCCACACUUGAUUGAGCAAAAGAUGCAACUUCACUAAUUGAGUUAGGCACCUGCACUUCCACUGCAGCUCUGAGUUCAUUCUUCAGACCCAGAAGAAAUUGUGUCACCAGCAGCAGUCCUCCUACAUUUAGAUCAUACAAUUUAACCUAGCGGAGCGGAUUCAACUACUUAAGAUAUUCUUCCUCAGAGCCAGCCUGCUCUUUAUCAUCAUCUAUCGUCUAAAUAAGUAAAUAAUGACACCGAUAUAGAUCGAGGACCCCCAUCUAAGCCAUAGGAAAGAAAGCCACUGGAGUGCGACGCUCAAAGCAAAAGUAAGUAAUAGGGAAACAAGGUUCUAUUAGGCUUGCAGGGCUGCUGCUCUUUGAAAGACGAGGUCUAGUGGAAGAGGCGGGUUUCUUGAUUUAGUCGAUAUCAAAUUCCCAACUUCGAAAUUCGAAAGGACUAAGAUUCUAUUUCUUCCUCAAAUACUGGGAAUGUGGAUUCAAGUAUGAUAUCACUAUUCUACAGAUCUCAAGAAAACGAAUUGAACAAGUUUGAUGGCUGGAAGAAGAUAGGAAAUAUUCAAACAUGUAUUGCAUUUCAUCGAUCUCACCCUUUGUUCAGUGCCGCAUAAGUACUGACUUCUUGAACAGAUACCGGUACCGGUCAUGAAGGCUUCACCCUUCUCAAGUCAAGUGUAGAAGCGAAAUCCGUUGAGCAAGAAGCCAGUGAUCCCACAACAUCAAAGUGAUACAUAUGACAUAUUGGAAAUUAGGCUUAGUUUGUAGCUGUGAAUAUAGUAAUGCACUUAUUUAUUGAUAAAUAUGUUCUUUCAAGUAGAGCAUACUCGGUAGAAAGGAGGUGGUGGAGCUGGGAAGAAGAUUAUACUUUAUCGAUUACUUGGACUUAGAGACCAAUUAUAGAAAGAAGACAGUAGCUGAGUGAGUUUUAUGGAUCUAGUUUAUGAGCAGCUUAACUAGAAAAGCAAGCAGAAGGAAUAGAAGAAUGAAAUGCAGAAAUAGGGGAAGGGUGGGUAGCAUUUUCAAAUGCCAGUUUGAGUGAGACAGUUUCUGUCUGGCCCCCCACUUUUAGGCUGUUCUUCCAUUCUGCCUUUGUCUUGCUCUAAGCUACCUGACUUCCUUCCUUUGUUCUUCCAUUCUACUUUGUAUGAUUCUGAUCACCAGUUCUUAUCGAUCCCAUUUUAAGGAAAAAUCCUGAUGUUGGUAAAAUAUACGUGUUGAUCAAGGACAAUGAAGCAGCCAUGAAAAGAUUGAAGAACGAGGUAUGAUGAUUACUUCGGACUACUUUCUGUUCUUCAUGCAAAUGACCAUAUUUUCCGUCUGCAAUACAGGUAGAAGAUACUGAGUUGUUCAGAUGUUUACAGGAAAUCCAUGGGAAAAACUACCACAGCUUUGUAUUAAGCAAGCAGGUUCCAGUCAUUGGUAAUUCCAGGGAAGCCUACAUUGGCAUUGCUCCUGAGUUAGCCAAAGAGAUCGCGGAAGAAGUGGAUGUUAUCGUAAACUCUGCAGCAAAUACCACUUUUGAUGAGAGGUUCGUGAAGCUAUACUAGUCUUGCAUCAAGGAUUGCUUCCAUUACUAAAUGUGUAAGUUCACAUUCCAUAGCAAGAGAAGUGGUAUGAUCUAGCACUAGACAUCAACACCGUGGGGCCAUUCCGGAUAAUGAGUUUCGCGCAGCGGUUUUGAAGACUGAAGCUCUUCUUGCAAGUAUCAACAGGUCAGAAUGCCAAAUAAGAGUUUCUUGUGGUCGAAAUCAAAUGGUAACCUGUUUCUAUUAAUCUCAAAAGCUUACAAACAAGCUUUAGCAGUAUGUUUGCAUGUCAUGUUUUUGGCCAAACAGCAUAUGUGAAUGGGCAGAGGCAAGGUUUAAUACUAAAGAAGCCAUUUUGCUUAGGGGAUACCAUAACAAAGGGGAUAGGUUCCUUAGAUUUUUCGGCACAUCAGAAUACCGUGUUGGAUAUCGAGGCUGAGAUCAAGUUGGCUUUUGACUCCAGAAGGCAUUCUUCUGCCUCUGCUUCUGUUACUCAAGAAAUGAAAGAGUUAGGUAGUCGAGGUAUUCUAGUAUUUACGUGUUACUUUCUCAUGUCUGUAGAUACGAAUACACACAUGAAGUAUUUGAUUUGUGCAAUUUAUUUAUUCAUAGGGCCAAACUCUAUGGUUGGCAAGACACUUAUGUGUUCACAAAGGCCAUGGGCGAGAUGGUCAUCAACUGCAUGCGAGGAGAGAUACCGGUGGUAACAAUCAAGCCAAGUGUCAUAGAGAGCACAUGGAGGGAUCCCUUCCCAGGUUGGAUGGAAGGAAACAGGUAAAUGCUAAACCCAAAUCUGAGGUUGCGGAUGUCACAUAUAUAUGUGAUGCAUCCUCGUCUGCUUACCAGAUAAUGAGCUAUUUCAGGAUCUAGCAGUGUGUACUAACUUUUGACGGGUUGAUGGUGAUGAUCAAGUAUAUGACCUAUAUUCCUCACUAUUAGAUGACUUCAAAGAGGAGAUUCCAUCAUAAUCUCUGGAAGCUAGUGUCAAGGAAGCCGUUAGCCGUCACCUUAACUGAAAGUUGGUGAAGAAGGUGUAUAUGCCUCUUGUCUAUGGUAAGACACAACAUAGUGCAGCAGCGGACAUCCAGAAGGGGCUUGACUUCAUUAGAAAACAUGGUGAAAGCAACAAAGUGGCGGACAUUUUUUUUUUACAUUCUGGGACAAGAAAUUCCCAGUCAUUGCUAGGCUGAGCCAUGUUAGCAAAGAAUGGUUUCUCCAACAAUAUGAGGAUAAAUCCCUUACUAAAAUGGUAGUGGUCACAAACCCCUUCCGUGUACAAUUGAAAACAUUAGCAAUACCAAAGCAAGAAUCAUCAUUUAUACUGGGAAUGCCUUCCUCUACCAAAAGAGAAAGAGUUGAAGAUAACGAAGGAAAGUGGGUGGAUACAAAACCAGUUCAUAUCACUUGUCUUUUUGGUCUUUCAGAAUCUCAUCGAAUACUAGUAAAUGCUUUCGAAGAGAAAAUAGAAGCACUAGAGAGCUCAAGUUCACUUCAUUCAUCACAAGAUGCAAAUGAUAAUCAAAAUGGAGCUAAUGAGGAAGAAAUCACUUCUACUUAAACUUUUUUGAGUGAAAUACCAACCAACACAUAAAGCAAUAACCAGAUAGAUAGAAUGAUAACAGGUAAUACGAAGAUAUCAACACAGCCGGAGUCACGAGGCUCGAUAAUGACCAAUGGGUUAGGAUCUGAGGAAGCUUAGUUUGGAUGAUGGAAUAUUCGCUGUUCUGAUUGUUGAGAUACUACAAAUCCACUUAUCCAACAAUGGUCUUUCUUGGGUUUGAAUUGCCUUCUCUUUCUGUCAUCCUAAUGCACAAAACUUCUUGUUGUUUGACUAUCAAGGGCUUUGAAAGCCCAUCUGCAACUUGAUCGCCUUGGGUAUAGAAUGAAUGUUGAGUAACUUGUUUUCUGCUCUUUCUUUGACAAAGUGAUAGUCUACUACAAUAGGCUUGGUUCUAGCAUGAACCAUGGGAUUUGUUGACAGAUAAUUGGCAUCAAUAUUAUCACACCCUAAGGUUGCUGCUUGUGGGUGACAAACACCACGCUCUUGUAACAAUGAUUGAAGUUUCAAAAAAAAUGUAACAAUGAUUGAACCCAAAUCACUUUUUUUGCGGGGAAGGGAGUGUAACAAUGCUCCGAAAUUUACUUUUGUUGUUGCAUUUGCAAGAGACCUAUAUUUUGCUUCCGUGUUGAAUCUUGAUAUUAUAAGUUGUUUUCUUGCACUCCAUAAUACAAGAUCAUCUUUGGAGCAUCGACUUUUCGGACACGACUUCCACGAGUCAUUCCAUAAUAAAACUUUGCAAUCACUCAAAACAUUUGUCAAUGUUUGCCAAAAAAACAGAAUUAUUAUUAUUAUUAUUAUUUUCAUUUUUUCUGAUUUUACUGUUGACACGAGGUAAGAAACAUUGCGUCCAUCCCAAUCUCUCCUACACACAAAAAGAAUUGUAAGGUUCUGUCUUCCACUUCAUCUUUCGUUCAAUUUUAGGUACAUUCCUCCCUCCCUCUCUCUGACUUGAUUCUUUUCUCCCACCUUUGGUUUUUUUUUCAUUAGUUUUCCUUGAAAACCAGCUUAAAUGUCUUGGCCUUUUUUUGACUUGCCAAAUUAUCUUUUGUAAACCAAUAAGUUUUUACCAAAUAAAUGAUUACCAGAUAAAAUCUUAAAAUUUAUUUAGGUACAUAAAUCACGGACAGGAUUUAGUAAACAUUUAUUUACACAAUCAUAUUAAUGUGAACAUGUAAAUCACAGGUUAAUGUGCUAGAAUAUUUAUGUCAUGUUGCAACGCAUGGGCAAUUAUCCACUCUCUCUGUCCGGAAUUACUUUUUUGAACAUCUGUCCGGAAUUACUUGUCCCUCAAACAGAUGUAUCUAAGACGUACUCCCUCCGUUCGGAAUUACUUGUCUCGGAAAUGGAUGUAUCUAGAACUAAAAUACAUCUAGAUACAUCCAUUUUUGCGACAAGUAAUUCCGAACGGAGGGAGUAGUUCACAAAUGAAAAAACUAAACCCUCCGCCAAGAGAAGGUUUGGCUUAAGAGUUACCUUGUUUUAGAAGGGGCAAUAAUU